rnacentral:rRNA from 1 species
UACGAAGGGGGCUAGCGUUGUUCGGAAUUACUGGGCGUAAAGGGCUCGUAGGCGGCCAACUAAGUCAUACGUGAAAUCCCUCGGCUUAACCGGGGAACUGCGUCUGAUACUGGAUGGCUUGAGAUUGGGAGAGGGAUGCGGAAUUCCAGGUGUAGCGGUGAAAUGCGUAGAUAUCUGGAGGAACACCGGUGGCGAAGGCGGCAUCCUGGACCGGCAUUGACGCUGAGGCGCGAAAGCUAGGGGAGCAAACGGG